CCUACGGGAGGCAGCAGUAGGGAAUUUUGCGCAAUGGGGGAAACCCUGACGCAGCAACGCCGCGUGAUCGAUGAAGCCCCUCGGGGUGGUAAGAUCUGUCAGUGGGGACGAAACCUGACGGUACCCACAGAGGAAGCAUCGGCUAACUCCGUGCGAGCAGCCGCGGUAAUACGGGGGGUGCAGGCGUUGUCCGGAAUCAUUGGGCGUAAAGAGUUCGUAGGUGGCACGUUAAGUCUGGUGUUAAAGGCGGAGGCUCAACUUCCGUAGGGCACUGGAAACUGGCCAGCUUGAAUGCGGUAGAGGUAAAGGGAAUUCGUGGUGUAGCGGUGAAAUGCUUAGAUAUCAGGAGGAACAUCGAUGGCGAAGGCAGUUUACUGGGCCGUAAUUGACACUGAGGAACGAAAGCCGGGGUAGCGAAUGGGAUUAGAUACCCUUGUAGUC
rnacentral:rRNA from 1 species